rnacentral:tRNA from 1 species
UCCUGCUUAACUCAGUUUGGUAGAGUGACGGACUGUUAAUCCGUUUGUCCCUGGUUCGAGUCCAGGAGCAGGAGCCA